GACGAACGCUGGCGGCGUGCUUAACACAUGCAGGUCGAACGGAAAGGCCCUGCUUUUGUGGGGUGCUCGAGUGGCGAACGGGUGAGUAACACGUGAGUAACCUGCCCUUGACUUUGGGAUAACUUCAGGAAACUGGGGCUAAUACCGGAUAGGAGCUCCUGCUGCAUGGUGGGGGUUGGAAAGUUUCGGCGGUUGGGGAUGGACUCGCGGCUUAUCAGCUUGUCGGUGGGGUAGUGGCUUACCAAGGUUUUGACGGGUAGCCGGCCUGAGAGGGUGACCGGCCACAUUGGGACUGAGAUACGGCCAAGACUCCUACGGGAGGCAGCAGUGGGGAAUAUUGCACAAUGGGCGGAAGCCUGAUGCAGCAACGCCGCGUGCGGGAUGACGGCCUUCGGGUUGUAAACCGCUUUCGCCUGUGACGAAGCGUGAGUGACGGUAAUGGGUAAAGAAGCACCGGCUAACUACGUG
rnacentral:rRNA from 1 species